UACGGAGGGUGCAAGCGUUAUCCGGAUUCACUGGGUUUAAAGGGUGCGUAGGAGGGCAGGGAAGUCCGGUUGGUGAAAUCCUAGAGCUUAACUCUAGAACUGCCGUGGAUACUCUCUGUCUUGAAUCCCGUGGAGAUGAGCGGAAUAUGUCAUGGUAGCGGUGAAAUGCUUAGAUAUGACAUAGAACACCAAUUGCGAAGGCAGCUCGUUACACGAAGAUUGACUCUGAGGCACGAAAGCGUGGGGAUCAAACAGGA
rnacentral:rRNA from 1 species